UACGUAGGUGGCAAGCGUUAUCCGGAAUUAUUGGACGUAAAGAGCGCGCAGGUGGUUAAUUAAGUCUGAUGUGAAAGCCCACGGCUUAACCGUGGAGGGUCAUUGGAAACUGGUUGACUUGAGUGCAGAAGAGGGAAGUGGAAUUCCAUGUGUAGCGGUGAAAUGCGUAGAGAUAUGGAGGAACACCAGUGGCGAAGGCGGCUUCCUGGUCUGCAACUGACACUGAGGCGCGAAAGCGUGGGGAGCAAACAGG
rnacentral:rRNA from 1 species